UGCGUGUGUGUGUGUGUGUGUGUGUGUGUGUGUGUGUGUGUGUGUCUUGGUGACGGGAGGGGCCAGACUGACAAUCUCCCA
rnacentral:miRNA from 1 species